CCUAGGGGCGGCUGCAGUGGGGAAUAUUGGACAAUGGGGGGAACCCUGAUCCAGCCAUGCCGCGUGUGUGAAGAAGGCCCUCGGGUUGUAAAGCACUUUCAGUGAGGAAGAACGCCUGGUGGUUAAUACCCAUCAGGAAAGACAUCACUCACAGAAGAAGCACCGGCUAACUCCGUGCCAGCAGCCGCGGUAAUACGGAGGGUGCGAGCGUUAAUCGGAAUUACUGGGCGUAAAGCGCGCGUAGGUGGCUUGAUAAGCCGGUUGUGAAAGCCCCGGGCUCAACCUGGGAACGGCAUCCGGAACUGUCAAGCUAGAGUGCAGGAGAGGAAGGUAGAAUUCCCGGUGUAGCGGUGAAAUGCGUAGAGAUCGGGAGGAAUACCAGUGGCGAAGGCGGCCUUCUGGACUGACACUGACACUGAGGUGCGAAAGCGUGGGUAGCAAACAGGAUUAGAUACCCGUGUAGUC
rnacentral:rRNA from 1 species